UCCCUGGUAGCUCAGAGGGUAAAGAAUCUGCCUGUAAUGCAGGAGACCCUGGUUUGAUUCCUGGGUUGGGAG
rnacentral:tRNA from 1 species